ACUCAUUGCCAGAACGAAUGCAAAUUUCAUUUUGGAAGGAUCGGUGCCGGAAGAUGCAGUGAAAAUUAUGAAAUGUUAAUAGAAAAGUGAUUAAGUAAAUCGUGAAAGAUGUCAACGCAGGCGUAAAUGGAGUUUGUUUUGUUACAUGAUCUACGGCUAUUUCAUUACCAAAGCUCCUGAUAAUAGAUCAAAGCAGAUGGAUCGGGCAUACAGAGUCGCCGUUUAACUUAGAAUAUCUUCGUGAUCGGCAAACACAUCAAACAGCAUGUUUUUUUUUCAACAGCACGCACCAUCGGUGGAGCAAGCAGCUAACGUUUUGUUCGCCCAGCACGCACCAUCAAGUAUUGAAAUAUUUUCAAAUAGCUUUGUGAAUAAAAAACUGCACACUUA